rnacentral:snoRNA from 1 species
UCGUUGCUGUGAUGAACUAUGAAAAGGAUUUUCGCAUGUCAGACUUCAGAGAUACGUAAAGUGUCAAUGAGAAGAUAUUUCAUACUUCUGAGCAAUUU